GAAAGAGUUCCAUCCGAAGAUAACAUUGCAGAUCCACUGACAAAGCCGUUGUCUCAGAUUGUCUUUGAGCGUCACAGGGGUCUGAUGGGGAUCAGACACAUAGGUGAUUGGCUUUAGGUCAAGUGGGAGAUUGCUAGUCAUAGGUGCCCAGCAAGCCAAUCACGUGAGUGAUGGCACGUGUGACUUGAUACAUAAACUUUUUUGUUUAUUAUAUUUUGGCAUAUAUCAUUUUAUAACUAUUGCAUAUAUGCAUAUAUAUAUUGUGAUGUCCUUGGAUUUUUGCAAUGGGAAUCGGAUCGUGAUGAGAUCACGAUAAUGAGAUUGAUUCACCUUUAAACACAUACCCUAAAUAAUCC
rnacentral:lncRNA from 1 species